rnacentral:rRNA from 1 species
GACGAACGCUGGCGGCGUGCCUAAUACAUGCAAGUAGAACGCUGAAGGAGGAGCUUGCUUCUCUGGAUGAGUUGCGAACGGGUGAGUAACGCGUAGGGAACCUGCCUGGUAGCGGGGGAUAACUAUUGGAAACGAUAGCUAAUACCGCAUAAGAGUAGAUGUUGCAUGACAUUUGCUUAAAAGGUGCAAUUGCAUCACUACCAGAUGGACCUGCGUUGUAUUAGCUAGUUGGUGAGGUAACGGCUCACCAAGGCGACGAUACAUAGCCGACCUGAGAGGGGGAUCGGCCACACUGGGACUGAGACACGGCCCAGACUCCUACGGGAGGCAGCAGUAGGGAAUCUUCGGCAAUGGACGGAAGUCUGACCGAGCAACGCCGCGUGAGUGAAGAAGGUUCUCGGAUCGUAAAGCUCUGUUGUAAGAGAAGAACGAGUGUGAGAGUGGAAAGUUCACACUGUGACGGUAUCUUACCAGAAAGGGACGGCUAACUACGUG